rnacentral:lncRNA from 1 species
GAAAUAUUAACAAAAAGAUCACGUUUUGUUUCGUCUAUAAAAGGAUGCGUACGGAGUUCAUGUGAAAGGGGGUUUUAUCUUCGUCGGAAAAGUAAAAAAAAAAGAGAGGUUUUGCUUCUGCGAAAAAGAAUAGCAGAAAAAGGAAAAACUGCAGAAAAAUAAAAGAAAGAGAGAUAGUACGAAGGGAGUGCGGCUGCAGAGAGGAGAAGGGUAAAGGCAGAAGGAAAAGGGGUGAUUUGACCCCUACUGUUCAUCGUCUUCCCAACCUGCUGCCCACGUUGCUGCUCCAACGCACCCCGACGCCGGAGCUCCGACGAAGCCCGCCGCUCCUGACCUUGCCGAGCGCCACCUGUCACUGCACCACCGCCGCUCUUGACCUCGAACCGCGCCCCCCGACGACCGCGCUCUCGCCCUCGCCGACGCCGCGCCGCUGCAACACCCCCGC